UACGGGGGGAGCAAGCGUUGUUCGGAUUUACUGGGCGUAAAGGGCGCGUAGGCGGUGCGUAAAGUCAGGCGUGAAAGCCCCGGGCUUAACCUGGGAAUUGCGCUUGAUACUGACGUGCUAGAGAACGGGAGAGGAUGGCGGAAUUCCCAGUGUAGAGGUGAAAUUCGUAGAUAUUGGGAAGAACACCGGUGGCGAAGGCGGCCAUCUGGACCGUUUCUGACGCUGAGGCGCGAAAGCGUGGGGAGCAAACAGG
rnacentral:rRNA from 1 species